UUUCCAUGGAGAACUUUGACUUACCACACACAGGAGUCGCUGCAUUUUCCACCAGCAAUCCAGGCAAUGUUAAUGCACUAUGAAGUCUGAGAAUCUGUGCCAAAGAAAACCACUCUGCAUGGAACUGUCAGGCCUAAUUCUCAGACCAGACCUUCUGGUGGACUUUUGAAUUCUUGGAGACAAUCUCUACGACUGGUUCCUGGACACCGCCCUCCUCUCUGGGGACAUUAUUUUGGUGAAGGAAAAUGACCCAAGUCCAUCAAUUAGCAUUUUCUAUACUCUAGACCACAGUGAUUGGUUGAGAGGCGAAUUCAUGAGUCACGUUCGUCUAAUCAAAGCCAAGUUGUGAAAGUUUGGGACCAGAUAGUGGUGCAGCACUGAAACGCUCUCCAAGGCUGACCCACAGGGGAAAAUUCCAGAUGAGGCCACUGAGAAUCAGAGAGGUCAAGACACCAGUACAAGCACGCUCAGCAACUCUGCUGGGAGGAGCUCUUUUAUCUCGGCUCCUUUCUGCCAUCAAAGCCCACUCAGCGUUGAGUAGCUGCCCGCCUCCUCGCUGGUCCUGUCCUCCCCAGAAUCCUGCCUGGAGGAUUUAAUUCAGAGUCUCAGAAGACAAGCAAGGGGCUGCUUUUGAUUGAUCAGUCAAACACAAUCCCUUCACAAUUGUCUUUGGAGACAGAGGCUCUAGACAUGAAAGAUGAAAAACAAGAGAUGCCAGCUUGGUUUAAGGUGGAAGUUUGGACUGGAUCUUUCUGUUCUUCCUUCAGCU